rnacentral:tRNA from 1 species
GCUGGUGUGGCUCAGUGGUAGAGCAGCGCUUUCGUAAAGCGCAGGUCGGCGGUUCAAGUCCGCCCACCAGCU